AGUGAACGCUGGCGGUAGGCCUAACACAUGCAAGUCGAACGGCAGCACAGUAAGAGCUUGCUCUUACGGGUGGCGAGUGGCGGACGGGUGAGGAAUACAUCGGAAUCUACUUUUUCGUGGGGGAUAACGUAGGGAAACUUACGCUAAUACCGCAUACGACCUACGGGUGAAAGCAGGGGAUCUUCGGACCUUGCGCGAUUGAAUGAGCCGAUGUCGGAUUAGCUAGUUGGCGGGGUAAAGGCCCACCAAGGCGACGAUCGGUAGCUGGUCUGAGAGGAUGAUCAGCCACACUGGCACUGAGAAACGGCCCAGACUCCUGCGGUGGGAAACAGUGGGGAAUAUUGGACAAUGGGGGAAAGCCUGAUCCAGCCAUACCGCGUGGGUGAUGAAGGCCUUCGGGUUGUAAAGCCCUUUUGUUGGGAAAGAAAAGCAGCAGUUUAAUACCCCGCUGUUCUGACGGUACCCGAAGAAUAAGCACCGGCUAACUUCGUG
rnacentral:rRNA from 1 species